rnacentral:rRNA from 1 species
GACGAACGCUGGCGGCGUGCUUAACACAUGCAAGUCGAACGAUGAAGCUAGAGCUUGCUCUGGUGGAUUAGUGGCGAACGGGUGAGUAACACGUGAGUAACCUGCCCCGAACUCUGGGAUAACUGCUGGAAACGGUAGCUAAUACUGGAUACGACCAACGAAGGCAUCUUCUGUUGGUGGAAAGAAUUUCGGUUCGGGAUGGACUCGCGGCCUAUCAGCUUGUUGGUGAGGUAACGGCUCACCAAGGCGACGACGGGUAGCCGGCCUGAGAGGGUGAUCGGCCACACUGGGACUGAGACACGGCCCAGACUCCUACGGGAGGCAGCAGUGGGGAAUAUUGCACAAUGGGCGCAAGCCUGAUGCAGCAACGCCGCGUGAGGGACGACGGCCUUCGGGUUGUAAACCUCUUUUAGUAGGGAAGAAGCGAAAGUGACGGUACCUGCAGAAAAAGCACCGGCUAACUACGUGCCAGCCGCCGCCGUAA